rnacentral:rRNA from 1 species
GUAGGUGGCAAGCGUUGUCCGGAAUUAUUGGGCGUAAAGCGCGCGCAGGCGGUUUUUAAGUCUGAUGUGAAAGCCCACGGGCUCAACCGUGGAGGGUCAUUGGAAACUGGAGAACUUGAGUACAGAAGAGGAAAGCGGAAUUCCACGUGUAGCGGUGAAAUGCGUAGAGAUGUGGAGGAACACCAGUGGCGAAGGCGGCUUUCUGGUCUGUAACUGACGCUGAGGCGCGAAAGCGUGGGGAGCAAACAGGAUUAGAUACCCUGGUAGUCCACGCCGUAAACGAUGAGUGCUAAGUGUUAGGGGGUUUCCGCCCCUUAUUGCUGCAGCUAACGCAUUAAGCACUCCGCCUGGGGAGUACGGCCGCAAAGGCUG